AUAUCUAUUUAAUCCUGGUUGUGGGAGGGUCAAGAGCAGGUUUACAUAAGAAGGUUUUGGUAGUUUGAUGUAGUUUGAGUAGUUGCGUUUUUCUUAGUAGUUAGAGCUUUAUGUUGAGGGUAACCUUGAUUGGGCUGUUCUUGAAUGGAGUGGUGGAUACUCAGUGCCAGCAUCCGCGGUUAUUCUGUUAGCUUCUUCUCCUGGCUGGUUGGUGUAAAGUAUUUGGAGCUAAGAUUUAGGUUUGAGUAUAAUCUUCCUUUUGUUGAUAUUAUGUUCUAGUUAUUUUAAUUCGUUUUUUAUAAAAGAGGAUUAGAUACCCUUGUAUAGGCGGUUUAAGUUUGCUUCCUUAGUAUAAACUAAAAGGAUUUGGCAGCUGAUGAGAUUCUGCCGGGGGAACGUGUAUCGUAAUAGAUAGUCCACUUAGUAGUUGACCUCUUUUAGUUUUGUUAGUGUAUAUCCGGUUUAAUAUUUGUGGUUAGUGCCAUUGAGUGUAAUUUUUAUUAUUUAAGCCAGGUCAAUGUGCUGCUAAUAUUGAGGGGUUUAUGCGUUACUUUGUUAAAAUUGUUGUUGUGUGAUUUGUGGCAGCUGUAUUUAGGACUCGGAAGUAGGUAGGGUGUUUGUUUAUGGUAGUUAGGUUUUCCUAUCGAAUGAGAUUUAGUUGGGGUACACACCGCCCGUCACCCAGGGUGUUAGCUGUGGUAAGUCGUAACAUGGUAAUGCUGGGGGAACCCGGUAUUAGUUGUCUUGUAAGUUUAUAUUAUGGGCUAUA
rnacentral:rRNA from 2 species